UAAUACGUAGGGGGCAAGCGUUGUCCGGAUUUACUGGGUGUAAAGGGUGCUCAGGCGGGUUUGUAAGUCAGUGGUGAAAUCCCGGGGCUUAACUCCGGAACUGCCAUAGAAACUGCAAGCCUAGAGUACGGAAGAGGUUGAUGGAAUAUCUGGUGUAGCAGUGAAAUGCGUAGAUAUCAGAUAGAACACCAAUGGCGAAGGCAGUCAACUGGUCCGUUACUGACGCUAAAGCACGAAAGUGUGGGGAGCGAACAGGAUUAGAUACCCUGGUAGUCCACACCCUAAACGAUGAGUACUAGACGUUGGGCCUUUUAAGGUUCAGUGUCUGAGCUAACGCAUUAAGUACUCCACCUGGGAAGUACGAUCGCAAGGUUGAAACUCAAAUGAAUUGACGG
rnacentral:rRNA from 1 species